CUCCACCUCUUCCUGAACCCCUUCCCCACCCUGGAGGCCAGUCCUGCACCCGGCCCUGCCACACACUGGCUGCGGUGUCCACUCUGCAGGGCGAGCUGGGGCUGGAUGCGCAGAAGGGAAAGGAUGGGCGGGAAGAGCCUGGCAGAUGUGGCCAGUUUCUGUGCGCUGGGGGCUGAACUGGACAGUGCCCCCAUCCAUACAUCUGUGCCUCUCGGCUCCACAAAGGACUGAUAGCUUUCUUUCAAUCCUCAUUCACUUAUUCCUCAGGCAUCUGUCAUUCAUUCAACAAGAUCUCUCUAUUUGGUUUCAGCCCCAGCUCUUCACUGCCUCUCCCAACUCUUAUGCCUUGGGUUCCUCCACUCUAUGUCCCACCGGCUCCCCAAACUCCUGUAGGACCACAGUUCUGUACCCCUGCAUGUGCCUCCUGUUCCCGACCUGCUCCAGCACCAGCUAGGAGUGGCUCUGCCAUCACCCAGCUGCCCAAGCCAGAGCUGGGUCCAAGUUCAGUUCUCUGUAACCUUCCCACCUCCUGUGAGCCUCCCGCCCCUCUCCAGGCUUGCUGGGCUGUCCCGCACAAGUGCCUCAGCCUCUCUGGGAACUUCUCCACCUCUCCCCGUUGGCCUUCCCUGGGGUGCUAGGGACAGAACUCAGAGCCUGCACAGGCUGAGCGCGCACUCUACUCUGUGCUGUACCCCAGCCCUAGGACUCCCUCUGGUCUGUGGAGGGACAGGCAGUGGAGAAAGCUCCUACGUGGUGUCUGGAGGCUGCAGGUCCCAGACCCACCACAAAGUUGCCAGGCUAAAUUGUUUGUGGUCAGGGCUGGGGCUAUAGCUCCAAGGCAGAGCACUCACCUAGCACAUAUGAGGUCCUGGGUUCAAUUCCCCAGCAGUGCAAAAAAAUAAAUUAUAGUGUUACAUGCUUUUGUAAUCCUAGUGCUCUGUGAGGCUGAGGCAGGAGGACUGCAAGUUCUAGUCCAGCCUGGGCAAUUUAGAGACUUAGAUCUUGCCUCAAAAUUUAAAGGGAGUAAAGGGGCUGGGACUAGCUCAGUGUAAAGGCCCUGGAUUCAAUCUCCAGUACCACAAAACAAAACAAAGUAGCUAGGCUACUUCACAUAUGACCUUUCUGCCUGUAUGAUCUAUGAUUGCCAAGGUCACAGAUAGCUAAUAAUAAUGGCCUUCAUUCCCUAAUCACACACAAGGUACUGGGCUAAGAAUUUUACAUAAUUUAAGCAACAGAGCGAUCCUGAGGUGAG
ensembl:lncRNA